rnacentral:rRNA from 1 species
UAAAACAUAGCAUUAAUGCACCAUAUCCCAUUAGAACUCCACAAUUAAGCGUGCUCGGUAUAGAGUAGUACUGGGAUGGGUGACCGCACAGGAAGUCCCGGUGUUUUAC